rnacentral:rRNA from 1 species
AAUAGAUACCCGGUAGUCCUAGCUAGUAAACGAUGAGCUACUUGAUCGGACCGGGGCCCCCAGUAGCCUCUCGGUCGCAGCGAAAGUGGUAAGUGCUCCGCCUGGGGAGUAUGGUCGCGAGGCUGAAACUCAAAGGAAUUGACGGGGGCUCACACAAGCGGUGGAGGAUGUGGCUUAAUUCGAGGCUACGCGAAGAACCUUAUCCUAGUCUUGACAUGCACGGAUUAACUCGGUGAAAGCCGAGCCACGCCUUCGGGUGGAACGUGCACAGGUGCUGCAUGGCUGUCGUCAGCUCGUGUCGUGAGAUGUCGGGUUAAGUCCCUUAACGAGCGAAACCCUUGUCUCUAGUUGCCAGCGCGUUAUGGCGGGGACUCUAGAGAGACCGCCGGCGUUAAGCCGGAGGAAGGUGGGGAUGACGUCAAGUCCUCAUGGCCUUUAUGACUAGGGCUGCACACGUCCUACAAUGCUGCGCGACAAAGGGAAGCAAAAUCGCGAGAUUAGAGACAAACUACCCGAAAAACCGACCAGCGU